GACGAACGCUGGCGGCGUGCUUAACACAUGCAAGUCGAACGGAAACGCCCUGCUUUUGUGGGCUGCUCGAGUGGCGAACGGGUGAGUAACACGUGAGUAACCUGCCCUUGUCUUUGGGAUAACUUCAGGAAACUGGGGCUAAUACCUGAUAGGAGCUCCUGCUGCAGGGUGGGCGUUGGAAAGUUUCGGCGGUUGGGGAUGGACUCGCGGCUUAUCAGCUUGUUGGUGGGGUAGUGGCUUACCAAGGCAUGGACGGGUAGCCGGCCUGAGAGGGUGACCGGCCACAUUGGGACUGAGAUACGGCCCAGACUCCUACGGGAGGCAGCAGUGGGGAAUAUUGCACAAUGGGCGGAAGCCUGAUGCAGCAACGCCGCGUGCGGGAUGACGGCCUUCGGGUUGUAAACCGCUUUCGCCUGUGACGAAGCGUGAGUGACGGUAAUGGGUAAAGAAGCACCGGCUAACUACGUG
rnacentral:rRNA from 1 species